rnacentral:lncRNA from 1 species
GGUUGACUGAACGAGUGACCUUCGCUCCCCCUGCUAUCCUCGAUCUCACUACUGCCUGAGACUUCACCUACUCAUCAUUGUGCUGACAUUCUGGCAGAAGGAACUCAUACUCGAAAUGAUCUGAAGGAUCAGAUCAGCCUUGGCCUGAGAGUUCGAGCUGGUACACGGAUGGCAGUAGCCUGGAGGUUGAGGGUAAGCGGAAGGCGGGGACAGCAGUGCAGUGGUAGACAGAAAGCAAGUGAUCUAGGCCAGCAGCCUCCCUAAAGGGACUUCAGCCCAGAAAGCUAAACUUGUGGCUUUAAUACAAGCUCUAUAUAUACAGACAAAGAGAGCUGUUGACAUCUGCAGAAAAAGACCUAAGAUGCUGUGGCUAAAAGAAAUCAGAUGGCAAAUCUAACCGCCCAGGCAUCCUAAAGAGCAAUGAUCCUGACAGUCUGAAGACUAUCAAGUUAUAGACAAAUUAAGACUGGUAAAAGA